UGGCUCAGUUGGUAGAGCAUGGUGUUUGCGAUUCCAGGGUUGUGGGUUCGAUUCCCAC
rnacentral:tRNA from 1 species